UACCGCGGUUGACCCAUUUGGCAAAGACCUCCGCCAGGGAGGAUUCCGCAUUAGCCCCGCGCGCGCGUUUUUACCGCUAAGACUGACCUUAUAGAUCCACUCGUUGGCGCGCUGCCUGAAACUCAGGGGUCGAUCGACUGGCCGAAACAUAGAAUGGCCGUGAACGAUGACUUACUGUGAACGGUAGUUGAACCUGUUACAAAGGGAGAGAAACGAUCCUGAUCAAUGCGCAGCAAAAGGUCAGGGUGAGUUAGCGAGCCGCGCGUAAAGCGAUUUCUCGGUCAAGUGAAAACCGCGCGGGUUUUAAGGCGGUUCCGAUUGUUCCGUUCGCCGGCGAACUUUCGAAAGCGAUUGCUAUACUUGGAUCGAACUCAAUUGGCCGCUCAAGGUCGCUUCCCCCGACUGUGAAUCAUCGACAACUCUCGCCCCACAGCGAACAUCUACAGUACCUUGUUUAUUCCGAUGCUCGAGACCACUUCCCCCAGCUGUAAAUCAUCUCGCAUUAAAUUCUUACCCCCCAGCAAGCAUCCAGAAUGAAAUGAUUACUUUGUGGUGUCCAUGGGGAAGUUUGUGUGUAUACCAAUUUAAUUCUUUAACUGCUGUUUUAUUUCUAAGGAAACCUGUUACAACUGGCUAUUUUUAAUGUGUUUGCUUUUGAAUUGAAAAAAAAGAGUGGAUGAAAUCUGUCCGCAACAAGUAUCGAUCCAUGAAAACGAAAACAAACGUGCUCGGUUACCACAGCAAGAACGUAGAUUGACUUCCUGUGUCGCGGGAACUCAAUUCCGAUUGCAGAAAAAAGACCGUCCGCGCGGAGCAGCUUCGUUCCGUCGUCGGGCAACUACAAACAGAAUACCCAAUGGAAAAAGUAAUUUAUUGAAAGAAACGAGCGUGUCGCUUCCACUGGCGAAAAAAAGGCUCGCGAGCGGAAGAAAAAUGAGACCUCAGCUCGCAACUGUGCUUUGGAAACUGCUGCACGAAGUGUGUAUAGUCCGUUUGAUAAAUUACUGGAUUGAAAUUCUGUCGCCAACACUGUGUAGACAUCGAGUGUUAUUUGUUCGUUAGGAUUGAGCUGUCAGCUGCUAAGGUUUUAGCAAAAAGGACGAGUUCAACAAUUGUUAAUAUCGUGGUGGCAAUGGUUUAAAUAUUGAGACACUGAUACAAAUCUGAGUGGGUAGAAUAGUAUGUUUAUUACGUUAUAUUAAUUUGUUGGGUUAUAGAUAAGUUUAUGUCAGUGUAUAUAUUUAUUUUUAAUUACGUUUGAUUGUCACACAGAUUGACUCUAAGAGAAAAUAAAUGUUUGCAAGGUACUCUUUAAAUAUUUGCAACAGCAAUUGUUCAAAAUGAUGAUGAUUUAAAUGCCUCGUCAAAUAUAUUAUUCUACCUACUUCUAAACUCUCUGCUGAUAUCUCACUCUAUUUUAUCUUUAUUUCCAUGUUCAUGUUCCCUCCAAGGUUUUUCUGUCUCCAUAUUUUUCACCUUAAUUUAGAAACCUUCUCCAUAUUUUAGUUACUAUUGACACGAAAAUACCUGAAGAGCGCUCCAGAAAGGAGGGCAAACCAUCGCUUCGAAUAAAAUCCUCAACAAAUUACUACGCAGUAACUAUCUUUCUGCGACAUUCGCAAGAUCUGUUUAAAUAACGAAAACCACAAAGGGUACCAAAAUAAAGUCCUCCGCGACAAGGACACUCCAAGUGAAGAUCUCAAAAUCAACACAGGAGAAAUAAAUUCCGAACACACGAAAAUGCUUCGUAUCGAUACGAGCAUUGUUUCGUUUUUUGCACUGUCAGACUGGUUAUUUGUUAGGCGGAUUGUUCAUGGCCAUCGAGGUAAAACGCGCGUACACGCGGUGCACGAGCUGGAAGACGAAGUAUCAGGCCACCGACGCGAGGCAGUUGACAGUCGAUAGGAGUUAAUUAUUUAGGCCGACUAACUGCGACCAGAAUUCGCGGCUGUUAUAGUCAAGUAGAUAAGAACAAAGGACGGGUCUUGCGAAAGGAAACGUAGGAACGUUAAUGGCCUUUCCAGCGAGGAGAGCUUGACAAAUAGUGGUCGACGGCGAUGAAAGAACGGCUGCGUUUCGUUACGUACCCGCGUAACGAGUUCGAUCUCUCAUA